rnacentral:RNase_P_RNA from 2 species
GAAGCGCGCCAGACCGCCGCUGGUGCAAUCUGGGAAACCAGGCACUGGAGGAACGUCCGGACUGCACAGGACAGCGUAGCAGCUAACGGCUGCCCACCGUGAGGUGAGGAUCAGAGCAACAGAGACGAGUCCCAGGGGCGUACCGCGAGGUAAACCACUGGGGGUGAAACGGGCAAUCUCUACGCGCAGCAAUACCAAGUAGGCCAGCGUUGAUGUGGUUCCGCAGAGCUGGCGGGUAGGUAGCAUCGAGCCGUGGUGGCGACACCCGGCCCAGAGUAAUGGCGGUCACGCCGCGGGCAACCGCGGUGCACAGAAUCCGGCUUAUCGGCGCGCUUCACAC